rnacentral:tRNA from 1 species
AGGGGAAUAGCCAAGCGGGUCAAGGCACCGGAGCUCCGGAUACCGAAGGUUCGAAUCCUUCUUCCCCUG